GAUGAACGCUGGCGGCGUGCCUAAUACAUGCAAGUCGAGCGAACGGACGAGAAGUUUGCUUCUCUGAUGUUAGCGGCGGACGGGUGAGUAACAUGUGGAUAACCUACCUAUAAGACUGGGAUAACUUCGGGAAACCGUAGCUAAUACCGGAUAAUAUUUUGAACCGCAUUGUUCAAAAGUGAAAGACGGCCUUGCUGUCACUUAUAGAUGGAUCCUGGCUGCAUUAGCUAGUUGGUAAGGUAACGGCUUACCAAGGCAACGAUGCAUGGCCGACCUGAGAGGGUGAUCGGCAACACUGGAACUGAGACACGGUCCAGACUCCUAAGGGAGGAAGCAGUGGGGAAUCUUCCGAAAUGGGCGAAAGCCUGACGAAGCAACGCCGCGUGAGUGAUGAAGGUCUUCGAAUCGAAAAACUCUGUUAAUAGGGAAGAACAGAUGUGUAAGUAACUGUGCACAUCUUGACGGUACCUAAUCAGAAAGCCACGGCUAACUACGUG
rnacentral:rRNA from 1 species